AUUGAACGCUGGCGGAAUGCUUUACACAUGCAAGUCGAACGGUAGAGGGGGCAACCCCUUGAGAGUGGCGAACGGGUGAGUAAUAUAUCGGAACGUGCCCAGUCGUGGGGAUAACGUAGCGAAAGUUACGCUAAUACCGCAUACGAUCUAAGGAUGAAAGCGGGGGACUCGCAAGAGCCUCGCGCGAUUGGAGCGGCCGAUAUCAGAUUAGGUAGUUGGUGGGGUAAAGGCUCACCAAGCCAACGAUCUGUAGCUGGUCUGAGAGGACGACCAGCCACACUGGAACUGAGACACGGUCCAGACUCCUACGGGAGGCAGCAGUGGGGAAUUUUGGACAAUGGACGCAAGUCUGAUCCAGCCAUUCCGCGUGCAGGAUGAAGGCCCUCGGGUUGUAAACUGCUUUUGUACGGAACGAAAAGGUUUCUAUUAAUACUAGGAGCUCAUGACGGUACCGUAAGAAUAAGCACCGGCUAACUACGUGCCAGCAGCCGCGGUAAAGUG
rnacentral:rRNA from 1 species